rnacentral:rRNA from 1 species
AAUGAACGCUGGCGGCAGGCCUAACACAUGCAAGUCGAACGGAUCCUUCGGGAUUAGUGGCGGACGGGUGAGUAACGCGUGGGAACAUACCCUUUGGUACGGAAUAGCCUCGGGAAACUGGGAGUAAUACCGUAUGUGGUCGAGAGACGAAAGAUUUAUCGCCAAAGGAUUGGCCCGCGUUGGAUUAGGUAGUUGGUGGGGUAAUGGCCUACCAAGCCGACGAUCCAUAGCUGGUUUGAGAGGAUGAUCAGCCACACUGGGACUGGGACACGGCCCAGACUCCUGCGGGAGGCAGCAGUGGGGGAUCUUAGGCAAUGGGGGAAACCCUGAUCUAGCCAUGCCGCGUGAUCGAUGAAGGCCUUAGGGUUGUAAAGAUCUUUCAGGUGGGAAGAUAAUGACUGUACCACCAGAAGAAGCCCCGGCUAACUCCGUGCCAGCCGCCGCCGUAA